UACAGAGGCCUCGAGCGUUAGGCGGAAUCACUGGGCUUAAAGCGUGUGUAGGCGGACUUCUAAGUCCCUUGUGAAAUCCCACGGCUUACCCGUGGAACUGCUGGGUAUACUGGUUGUCUUGAGCCACUUAGGGGCUACCGGAACAAAUGGUGGAGCGGUGAAAUGCGUAGAUAUCAUUUGGAACGCCAAUGGUGAAAACAGGUAGCUGGGAGUGUGCUGACACUGAGACACGAAAGCCAGGGGAGCAAACGGG
rnacentral:rRNA from 1 species